UGGGGAAUAUUGCGCAAUGGGGGGAACCCUGACGCAGCCAUGCCGCGUGAAUGAAGAAGGCCUUAGGGUUGUAAAGUUCUUUCGGUAUUGAGGAAGGUUGAUGUGUUAAUAGCACAUCAAAUUGACGUUAAAUACAGAAGAAGCACCGGCUAACUCCGUGCCAGCAGCCGCGGUAAUACGGAGGGUGCGAGCGUUAAUCGGAAUAACUGGGCGUAAAGGGCACGCAGGCGGUUAUUUAAGUGAGGUGUGAAAGCCCCGGGCUUAACCUGGGAAUUGCAUUUCAGACUGGGUAACUAGAGUACUUUAGGGAGGGGUAGAAUUCCACGUGUAGCGGUGAAAUGCGUAGAGAUGUGGAGGAAUACCGAAGGCGAAGGCAGCCCCUUGGGAAUGUACUGACGCUCAUGUGCGAAAGCGCGGGGAGCAAACAGGAUUAGAUACCCUGGUAGUCCACGCUGUAAACGCUGUCGAUUUGGGGGUUGGGGUUUAACUCUGGCGCCCGUAGCUAACGUGAUAAAUCGACCGCCUGGGGAGUACGGCCGCAAGGUUA
rnacentral:rRNA from 1 species